CUGGCUCAGAUUGAACGCUGGCGGCGUGCUUAACACGUGCAAGUCGCGCGUGAAAGGACUUCGGUCCGAGUAAAGCGGCGCACGGGUGAGUAACGCGUGGAUGAUCUACCCAUGAGUUGGGAAUAACGGUUGGAAACGAUCGCUAAUACCCGGUACGUUCCGAUUUCAACUUCGGGAGAAAGGGGGCCUCUGCUUGCAAGCUUCUGCUCAUGGAUGAGUCCGCGUCCCAUUAGCUAGUUGGUGAGGUAACGGCUCACCAAGGCAUCGAUGGGUAGCCGGUCUGAGAGGAUGACCGGCCACACUGGGACUGAAACACGGCCCAGACUCCUACGGGAGGCAGCAGUGGGGAAUAUUGCGCAAUGGGCGAAAGCCUGACGCAGCGACGCCGCGUGAGGGAUGAAAGGUCUUCGGAUCGUAAACCUCUGUCAAGAGGGAAGAAACGUCAGGGUGCUAAUCAGCCCUGAUCUGACGGUACCUCUAAAGGAAGCACCGGCUAACUCCGUGCCAGCAGCCGC
rnacentral:rRNA from 1 species